UUUAUGCGGUAGAUCCACUUAUUGUGCCACAUCAUUACUCUGCCGCAUCAGCGCCAAAAUUAAAAAGAAAAUAAAUCACAUAAUGAUUUAUAAAUCAUCCCUGAGCAUUUUCCCCAAAACCACAAGCCACAAUGUCAAGCCCUAAAUCACAAUCCAUAAGAAAGAGUCUCGUUAACACAAAUUUCAAUCAAGGCUGCAGCUGGAUAUUCAUAUUCUCGCCGAUGUUGGUUAGACACUGGUUAAAUUUCUUGAUUCUCUCCCUAGACUGGAGAAGUGUGGAGAAGGAAAAAUUGGAUUAAAAUGAAGCAAAGUGGAAAUAUGGAGACGAAGGAGCAGAGAUGGACUUAGGAAAAUUAUGGAAGAGAUAGUUUUUUGGGUUUUUUUUUUUCUUUUAUUUCAACUUAAUUUCUUCUCUUUUUCUAUUUUAUUUCCCUAAUUUUUCUAUGAUAGUUAAAAGCAAUUACGUAAUUCAAAUAUUUAAUUUUGAAUUUCCCUCAUGCUUUGAGAGCUUCGUAGACAAAGAGGAGAUAAAGAUACUAUUUUGAAAUUGAAUUUAAAUAGUGGGCUGAUAUAUGUGAAUUCUUCUUAGAAUUCCUUCAUGUUUUAUUGAAGGAAUUUUUUUUUUUUUAAAUUGGGAAACACUUCAUACGAGCAUCAUUAUUAGUCCCUUUGUUUGUUAGAAGGUUAUUAUUUUGUUUUUGAAGCAUUAUCAGAUUAGUUUUUGCAUGAGAAAAAUUGGUUGAUCUAAUAUUACUACUUCACAAUCAGUCGGAUUGAUGGGUGGAAAUGUUUUAGCCGAAAGAAUUUGAUGAGUGAAGAAUGAAAUUUUCCGAAGAACUAUGUUGCUAGAGAAUUAAAAAUUGUUUCUCUAACAUAGUAAUACUUGAAACACAUCUGGCUGGUUCGCUCUUCUCAGCUUGAAUCUCCUAUGCCAGAUUUUAUUAUUGCUUUUGUUCCUUUUUUUUUUUUUUUUUUGAAUCCUUGCUCUUAUAGAUCUAGUUGUUGGAUAAGUCUUUAGACCUUGCACUUUGGUAGCCAUGAUUUGAUUUUCUGAAUCGGAAGGAAUGGUAUUAGUUUUGACAAAGAGAGAGAUUGUACUAUGUUGUUUGCAUCUGCUUGUGAACAACUGUAAUCACUUUCAUCCAACGCUUUGUGCUUGUUCUUAUUUUUGGGUUAUCCCCAGUAAGUAUACUAAUGCAAGUUGGUAGUUUUUUCUUUUUUUUUAAAUUUUUUUAAUUUUUACUUUGAUAUCAGCUAUCUUAGGUUCCUCGAACAUGACAUGGAAAGAGGUGAAAGAACUAGGUGGAAAGGUAAGAACUCCUAAAGCAUGGAACUUUGAGGAUAAUUAACUUUUCUCCCCAUGUACUAAAUGCGUUUUCAGAUGAUUUCAUCUUUCAAGCAAGCAUCAGUUUCGAAGCAAGAUAAUCAGCUACUCAACCUACUUGAAAAAAAUAAUUUCGUAUUUUGGUAUACCGCAAUUUUUGGGACUGGGAGAGUCUUGGUUGGUUAGAAGAGAAUAAUCAUCUUUCCAUUGUCAAGGCAACAAAUGACCAAGUGAUUUGUUUGGACAAGUAUUAUAUUUGUUUAUUUAAUUUUAUUCAAACUAAUGACUAUUCUCUAGGUAGUAUUUUUACCGUUUACAUAAUUCUUUUGAAGAUUGUUGACAUGUAAUUAUAAUUGGAGAUCAGUUAUACAACUAUCAUUGAUUUGUUUGUAUAGUUGAAGAUUGUUGACCUGUUUGUAUUUUUGAAGCAUAUGAAAUAGUGUUUACACCAGAUAA